rnacentral:rRNA from 1 species
CUCAGAUGACGCUGGCGGCAGGCCUAACACAUGCAAGUCGAGCGGAAACGAGUUAUCUGAACCUUUCGGGGAACGAUAACGGCGUCGAGCGGCGGACGGGUGAGUAAUGCCUAGGAAAUUGCCCUGAUGUGGGGGAUAACCAUUGGAAACGAUGGCUAAUACCGCAUGAUGCCUACGGGCCAAAGAGGGGGACCUUCGGGCCUCUCGCGUCAGGAUAUGCCUAGGUGGGAUUAGCUAGUUGGUGAGGUAAGGGCUCACCAAGGCGACGAUCCCUAGCUGGUCUGAGAGGAUGAUCAGCCACACUGGAACUGAGACACGGUCCAGACUCCUACGGGAGGCAGCAGUGGGGAAUAUUGCACAAUGGGCGCAAGCCUGAUGCAGCCAUGCCGCGUGUGUGAAGAAGGCCUUCGGGUUGUAAAGCACUUUCAGUCGUGAGGAAGGUAGUGUAGUUAAUAGCUGCAUUAUUUGACGUUAGCGACAGAAGAAGCACCGGCUAACUCCGUGCCAGCAGCCGCGGUAAUACGGAGGGUGCGAGCGUUAAUCGGAAUUACUGGGCGUAAAGCGCAUGCAGGUGGUUUGUUAAGUCAGAUGUGAAAGCCCGGGGCUCAACCUCGGAAUUGCAUUUGAAACUGGCAGACUAGAGUACUGUAGAGGGGGGUAGAAUUUCAGGUGUAGCGGUGAAAUGCGUAGAGAUCUGAAGGAAUACCGGUGGCGAAGGCGGCCCCCUGGACAGAUACUGACACUCAGAUGCGAAAGCGUGGGGAGCAAACAGGAUUAGAUACCCUGGUAGUCCACGCCGUAAACGAUGUCUACUUGGAGGUUGUGGCCUUGAGCCGUGGCUUUCGGAGCUAACGCGUUAAGUAGACCGCCUGGGGAGUACGGUCGCAAGAUUAAAACUCAAAUGAAUUGACGGGGGCCCGCACAAGCGGUGGAGCAUGUGGUUUAAUUCGAUGCAACGCGAAGAACCUUACCUACUCUUGACAUCCAGAGAACUUUCCAGAGAUGGAUUGGUGCCUUCGGGAACUCUGAGACAGGUGCUGCAUGGCUGUCGUCAGCUCGUGUUGUGAAAUGUUGGGUUAAGUCCCGCAACGAGCGCAACCCUUAUCCUUGUUUGCCAGCGAGUAAUGUCGGGAACUCCAGGGAGACUGCCGGUGAUAAACCGGAGGAAGGUGGGGACGACGUCAAGUCAUCAUGACCCUUACGAGUAGGGCUACACACGUGCUACAAUGGCGCAUACAGAGGGCAGCCAACUUGCGAAAGUGAGCGAAUCCCAAAAAGUGCGUCGUAGUCCGGAUUGGAGUCUGCAACUCGACUCCAUGAAGUCGGAAUCGCUAGUAAUCGUGGAUCAGAAUGCCACGGUGAAUACGUUCCCGGGCCUUGUACACACCGCCCGUCACACCAUGGGAGUGGGCUGCAAAAGAAGUAGGUAGUUUAACCUUCGGGGGGACGC